rnacentral:rRNA from 1 species
CACGUAGGGGGCGAGCGUUGUCCGGAUUUAUUGGGCGUAAAGAGCUCGUAGGCGGCUCGGUAAGUCGGGUGUGAAAACUCUAGGCUCAACCUAGAGACGCCACCCGAUACUGCUGUGGCUAGAGUCCGGUAGGGGAGCAUGGAAUUCCUGGUGUAGCGGUGAAAUGCGUAGAUAUCGUAAGGAAGACCAGUGGCGAAGGCGGGUCUCUGG